CUGCAUGCUGAAGCCCCACAUCUAAGCACUGAGCAGGUACAGCAUGGGCAGCAGUAGUGCAAGUUUCCCAUUAUACUGCCCAGUUAACGCACCUUUCCCCCUGGCCUGGAGGCAGGGUUGCCAUCUUUCCUGAAGCUUUGACCCAAAGGGGGUGGGGCCAUCCCAAAAAAGGGCAUGACAAAGCGACUCUCCU
rnacentral:sRNA from 1 species